ensembl:lncRNA MIR31HG MIR31 host gene
GGAGCCGGGGCGGAGCCACGGCGCUGGCGGCCCCGGCGGCGGCGGCAGGUGUGGAUGGGGCGAAGGUGCGGGAACGUCCACUCCCGCGCGCCCCUCUCGGGGACCAGGGCGGCCUCCCAGGAGGAGCUUGGUUUCUGGUCCUCAUACCGUGUGGUUGAGUGAAAUCAAAACUUCCACGAUAGCAAUGCUGAUUGGACAAAGAAUGUGUUGUGGACACAAAACCAAACUCUGGAGGACAGAGGAUUCAUUCCAAGGGUCUGCUUGUAUUCAAUGACUGGUCUACGUGGGGGUGUGAAGUCCCCUUACUCCACCUGUGAAGAGUCUUCCCAGUUUCAGACCACCCUCCCAGCCUCCUGUUAUUGGCUAAGGCCAUUUUGUGACUACACUGCAGAUGGAGUCUCAGUCACCAGGCUGGAGUGCAGUGGCACAAUCUCAGCUCACUGCAACCUUCACCUCCUGGGUUCAAGCAAUUCCCCUGCCUCAGCCUCUCGAGUAGCUGGGACUACAGGUGCUCACCACCAUGCCUGGCUAAUUUUUUUUAUUUUAGUAGAGUCGGGGUUUCACCAUGUUGGCCAGGCUGGUCUCGAUCUCCUGAUCUCAUGAUCCACCUGCCUCGGCCUCCCAAAGUGCUGAGAUUAUAGGUUUGAGCCACCAUGACUGGCCGAAUUUUUGUAACUUCUUUUCACAUAGUGGUUUACUGGGUAAGGUGUAUCUUGCUUCUCCUACAUGAUAUUCUUAUUUAUGAUGAAUUAAAACAAAUAAAGAAAAGUAAAAGAAAGGCAAAGGAACCAUAUUGUUCUUCUCCAUAAUUUUCAAGAUUUCAGAUUUUUUGUCUCUCAUUUCAACUUUCCUAGAAAGCAAACCUCAACAAUUGCUUAUAUAUUAAAAACAAAACAAAUAUAAGCCUGAAUAUCAGGAAGUAAGAGAAGUGACUUUCUGCUGACAAAAUAGCAAAACAUAUGUUAGCAAAAUUCAGUGCAGCAAAAUUAGAGACUAGGGACUCUGUCCCAGGGGAAGGAUGAAUGUCAUUGUUGAGGUACACAAAAGCAAGGGAAACGGCUGCUUCUGCCAGAGCCUCACAGAAGAGCAACUCCUGGGUCAAUGGAUUGUCCUCAGCUUUGCAAGACCAGCCACCUGCUCUUCUUUCAUUGAAUGCAGAUGUUAUCACCUCUGAGGUAAGAAAGGAGGAGUCACACCAACCAACUCACAGUAGACUGGCAACAAGACCCCAGUUGCUAGAACACUAGUCCUCUCUGGCAUGAUAAUGAAUAUUAGCCUUGCCUUAGCACCGUACCUAGUUAAAAAAUCCACCCAGGAAAUGAAAAGAUGGCAUUUAGAAACCUGCAAAGAAACAGAAUUUGAUUUCCCAAAAGAUUCUGCUCCUAGUUGUGUUAUAACAAUGGUGAUUUUUUUAAAAGAUAACACCAAAAUUAUUGCAUUAUAACUAUAGGCCUGUGACUGUUUUAAGAUCAUUAAAACUGUUGACCCAAUAACCAUGUUUGGAUUACACUCAUUUUUAUAACUGUCUGGAGAGAAAUAUAAAUCUGAAGGAAUAGAACAAAGACCUAAGGUCAAAACCACAGGGCAAACUGAGAUAAUAGUGAGUCUGGAGGAGUCCAUUAAAAAAACAGAACUGGACAUGAGAUUCAUGAACCAAGGAGAGGCCAUAGCAUGAAAUAAGAAGAGCAGGGAGGGUAAGUUGUCAAGGGAUUCUGGGUUCCACUUCAAAUGCCCAUGUGUUGCUGUCUAUUGUUUUAUAGGGCAAGAGUAGGUGUGCUAUGAGUGAAUUGAACUGACUGACUUUUAAGUUUUUCGUAAAAGUAAACAAAAGACCAUCUAAAUGGAUAUAAGGCAGCAGAUUUUUCUGCCAAUAAAAAAGUCUAAAAAUUAAUGAGCGAUUUCUUAAAUGAAAUAUAUUUAGACCACUUUAAGAACCCAUUAAAUGCGUACUCCUAGAGGCCUAUUUAUUUUUGACUCUUGAGUUGUCUUGAAUAAGCAAAAAGCACCUAAUAUUUUCCAUUUUAAUGCUGUUCUCAUUCCCAAGGAUGACAAAUCAGUUUCUUCCCACCUGGUCAGACUGGACUUUGUGUUGUCUACUGAUGAACCCACUGAAGAUCCUUUUCUUCUCUUUAUCUUUUUAUCCAACAGUUGAGCUGUAAGUGCCAAAAAAAAAUAUUUUGUAUGAGCAAGAUGGAAAAACAUUAUGCACUUCCCACACCACAGCAGUGAAUGCUUUCAAAAGGCUACUUACCAAAGUGAGUCUUCCUUUGACUCCAAAAGCAGCCACAUUGCUUAGUAAGGCUGUCUUUGGCUAUCUAGGAUUGUCAAUUGUUGGCAUCAAAAUGGAUGAUAUUUUCAACCUCUUGCUUCUACAGUGUUUCUGUUUCUUAAGAUUUAAAAGAUGUAAUUUUUAGUUUACAAACAUUUACCAAAAUCAGG